rnacentral:rRNA from 1 species
UACGUAGGGUGCAAGCGUUGUCCGGAAUUAUUGGGCGUAAAGAGCUCGUAGGCGGUCUGUCGCGUCUGCUGUGAAAACUCAGGGCUUAACCCUGAGCUUGCAGUGGGUACGGGCAGACUAGAGUGCGGUAGGGGAGACUGGAAUUCCUGGUGUAGCGGUGAAAUGCGCAGAUAUCAGGAGGAACACCGGUGGCGAAGGCGGGGUCUCUGGGCCGUAAACUGACGCUGGAGGA